ACUCCUACGGGAGGCAGCAGUGGGGAAUUUUGGACAAUGGGGGCAACCCUGAUCCAGCAAUGCCGCGUGAGUGAAGAAGGCCUUCGGGUUGUAAAGCUCUUUUGUCAGGGAAGAAACGGUCCGGGCUAAUAUCCUGGGCUAAUGACGGUACCUGAAGAAUAAGCACCGGCUAACUACGUGCCAGCAGCCGCGGUAAUACGUAGGGUGCGAGCGUUAAUCGGAAUUACUGGGCGUAAAGCGUGCGCAGGCGGUUGUGCAAGACAGAUGUGAAAUCCCCGGGCUCAACCUGGGAAUUGCAUUUGUGACUGCACGGCUAGAGUGUGUCAGAGGGGGGUAGAAUUCCACGUGUAGCAGUGAAAUGCGUAGAGAUGUGGAGGAAUACCGAUGGCGAAGGCAGCCCCCUGGGAUAACACUGACGCUCAUGCACGAAAGCGUGGGGAGCAAACAGGAUUAGAUACCCUGGUAGUCCACGCCCUAAACGAUGUCAACUAGUUGUCGGGUCUUAAUUGACUUGGUAACGCAGCUAACGCGUGAAGUUGACCGCCUGGGGAGUACGGUCGCAAGAUUAAAACUCAAAGGAAUUGACGGGGACCCGCACAAGCGGUGGAUGAUGUGGAUUAAUUCGAUGCAACGCGAAAAACCUUACCUACCCUUGACAUGGCAGGAAUCCCGGAGAGAUUCGGGAGUGCUCGAAAGAGAACCUGCACACAGGUGCUGCAUGGCUGUCGUCAGCUCGUGUCGCGAGAUGUUGGGUUAAGUCCCGCAACGAGCGCAACCCUUGUCAUUAGUUGCUACGAAAGGGCACUCUAAUGAGACUGCCGGUGACAAACCGGAGGAAGGUGGGGAUGACGUCAAGUCCUCAUGGCCCUUAUGGGUAGGGCUUCACACGUCAUACAAUGGUACAUACAGAGGGCCGCCAACCCGCGAGGGGGAGCUAAUCCCAGAAAGUG
rnacentral:rRNA from 1 species